CGCCUGUUUAUCAAAAACAUAGCCUUCAGCCCACCAAGUAUUGAAGGUGAUGCCUGCCCAGUGACACUACGUUCAACGGCCGCGGUAUCCUAACCGUGCAAAGGUAGCGCAAUCAAUUGUCUCAUAAAUCGAGACUUGUAUGAAUGGCUAAACGAGAUCUCAACUGUCUCUUGCAGAUAAUCAGUGAAACUGAUCUUCCUGUGCAAAAGCAGGAAUAAACACAUAAGACGAGAAGACCCUGUGGAACUUAAAAAUCAGCAGCCACUCUACUAAACUCAAACCUACAAGGCUCACCAAACCCUAAACACAUUGGCCUGCAUUUUUUGGUUGGGGCGACCUUGGAGAAAAACAGAACCUCCAAAAACAAGACCACACCUCUUACCUAAGAGCAACACCUCGACGUACAAACAGUAACCAGACCCAGUACAACUGAGCAAUGAACCAAGCUACCCCAGGGAUAACAGCGCAAUCUCCCCCAAGAGCCCGUAUCAACGGGGAGGUUUACGACCUCGAUGUUGGAUCAGGACAUCCUAAUGGUGCAGCCGCUAUUAAGGGUUCGUUUGUUCAACGAUUAACAGUCCUACGUGAUCUGAGUUCAGACCGG
rnacentral:rRNA from 1 species